AUCUACAUAUAACGCCCUUGAGCAUUAAGAAAAAAUCUUGCACAUGCAAAAAAAAAUAAAGUUUAAUCAGAAAAGAGAUAAAUAAAUAAUAAAAAUGGGCAUAAAACUUUGAGCGACUCUAAUACAAAAUUUACUGAUACAAUGCUCUAAAAAAAUAAUUUAUUCCAAUUAAAUCAGUGCCACCAUUGCUACUGAAGAAUCACGGGAAUUAUUACCAAAAAAUUAAGAUACACGAAAAUGUAUUGCAGAUUUUGAUGUACAACUUAAAAACAAUAUGGAUAAGUAUGAUCACAACAAGCACACUACCCAACUGGCUAUAAUCCAUCGUUAGCAUUAACAAGUUUGAGACCCCAGCUCAUGUCCUCACAGUGCUGCACAUGAGGUACCAGUGCACCAGUGUCGACCCCUAUCCGAGCCUUGCAGUCAUAAAAUGGAGGUGCAUGGAAACAAGGCUCCAUGGACAUUACUGGACCACAGGGUGGAUCAGGGGCUGAUUGAUUCACAGGUUUGUAGAGUAUCCAUGGCUUCAACCCUCCAAGACCUUGAGCCACAUAGCCAAAGGUGGACCAAGAGCUUGUGACCAGCACAUCGGUUAAGCUCAGCAAAUACAUUUCUGCCCAUGCCUUUCUGUUGUUAAUCUGCUUUUCUGUUUGCUGAUACUCUUCAUGACUUGGCUGGUAAAUACCAACUAAUUCCCCUGUCGUAGAUGGAUGUUCCCAGUACAUGCUUCUCAUCUUCUGAGAGUACCAAGAAUUUAAAGAUGUCACCAGAACAGCUUUAGACUUGGUUCCAGAUUGACUGGUGACGAGAUCCUCCCUGUUGAUUUCAGGCAGCAGAUUCUCCUUCACAGCACAAGCUAGGAUCUGAUCCAACACAUAUUGGAACGGACCAGCGCCAGAAUCAAAUAUUCUGAUCUGGAUGCCUACUUUUUCGUUUGCUUUAGCUAAAUAAGCGUGAUAGUAUCUAGUAAUAAGUCCCCAUACUGAAUUUGUGGGGUGAAAUAGAUAUCGGCCCAAGAAGUGGAAAACUGUUUCCUUAUUUGGGAAUAGAUUUUUCAAUUCUUGCUCAAAAGAUGGCAUCAAGAAGAGAGAUGGAACGAAGUAGUUAUCUGUUUUCAUUAUCAACCAAGGUAUUUUCUGAAGAAAAUCUUGAUUUUCAUCGCAGAAGAAAAGCUUAUCUUGGUCAUCAUAAUCAUGAAUUAGAUGGAGAUACACAUGACUUGCUGGCUUCAAUCUAUUUACAUUUUUAGAAAUGCUAUCCUUCAGCAUUCUUCCAUAACAGCUAGGAGAACUCUGAUUAAAGCUGUAGAAUUGACCUUUCAGGGGGAAAUCCAAGGGAAGAAACCAGGAUACCUCUGGGAAUGGUUCGCAAAAGAGAUCGACCAUGUCAACUCCAGGAUCCACAAGUAGGACUCGGUUUGUGAGAAGAGCAUAGAGAAAUGCUGAAGCUAAUGUCAGAAUCCUAUUCCCUAGUCCACUAAAGGAGAUCCAUACCACGUAACUACAAUCAGAGAGUUCAGGCUGAUGUCCAGACUUCAGUUGUUCAAGCGUUUUGUUGUAGGAUUCUGUACGUGGUCCACAUUUUUUAUGGAGAAUUUCGUAACUUCGCAACCUAGAAAUGAGGUAAGAAGAGGGCUUAUGUGGUAGUUCUUUGCGAUAAGCGACUGAUUGAUACCUGCUGAGACAGGUUUCUUCACUGACCGUAGCAGCAAGGAGACCACCUAGUAGCUUGUGCUGAGGGAACCCGGCAGGCUUUGAGAAACCUUCUGAACCUAGGACUUUUUCUUCUUCAAUUUCAAUAACUUUUGGUUGUGAAGAUUCCAAAGCACUAUCAGAUGGUGGGUCUCUAAGAACUACAGAUGCUGAAAACACAACUGAAAGAGCCAUCAAAAGGACCACCAAACCACCCAUAACUCUCAUCGGGUUAAACCCACAUUUUCUUUCCGUCUCCCCCACAGUACUCUGCCCAUCAGGAUCCGAGCUGUUCCCCGGAUUCCUCUUGAAGCGCUUCAUAUUUGAUAAUUAUUCAUUCGUUAAUCGGGUAAAGUCACUUCAGGGUCAAAAGGGUCGCUUGAGAAUGGUGGAUUUUGUGUCAGAGCGAGGGACGGUUCGAGCAGAGAAGAGGAAGUAGAGUGGAGAAGAUAGAUUGUGUCGGUAACGUUAAGAGACGUUGCAACUGGAAACAUGUUGGUAUCACAGUUCACUCGCAAUUGUAAUCGCAUGAUGAUAAUGGCCUCUUUUUAGUUCAGCCCAUUUACAGCCCAACUUCAAAGUUGUUAUCAUUAUUUUGAAAAUAUCUUCUGAAGGGCUCAAAUUAAUUUUUUUUUAAGAAAAAAAUAGACACUUUUGUUAUUAUUAUAAUUUUUUAUACAGUUCUUGGGUUUUGAUGUUAUUU
rnacentral:misc_RNA from 1 species